CCCUGGGGACAGGUGACAAUGGCAGGUGCCACCUCAGGUGUGCCCAGGUGCCACCAGGUGUGCCCAGGUGCCACCAGACCUGUCCAGGUGCCACCAGGUGUGCCCAGGUGCCACCAGGUGUGUCCAGGUACCACCAAACCUGUCCAGGUGCCACCAGGUGUGCCCAGGUGCCACCAAACCUGUCCAGGUGCCACCAGGUGUGUGCCCAAGUGCCACCUCAGGUGUGUCCAGGUGCCACCAAACCUGUCCAGGUGCCACCUCAGGUGUGCCCAAGUGCCACCUCAGGUGUGCCCAGGUGCCACCAGGUGUGCCCAGGUGCCACCUCAGGUGUGCCCAGGUGCCACCAGGUGUGCCCAGGUGCCACCAAACCUGUCCAGGUGCCACCAGGUGUGCCCAGGUGUGUGCCCAGGUGUGUCAGAC
rnacentral:lncRNA from 1 species